rnacentral:lncRNA from 1 species
CCACCUACAGUUUCUUGGAAGAUAACAAGAUGCUCAUAGGCUAAGAGCCUAAAACCAGUACCUACCAACAUAUAUUCUCCACAGGAGUGAAUUCCUGUUGCGCUGUUAUUUUGUUUUCAAUGUGGCUAGGAGUUUUUGUUUCAGGACUAUCGCAACGGUGAUCCACUGUUACCUACCGAAGUUCAUUUGCAGUGCGAAAUAAUUGUUUCUCCUAUGUUGCUACUGGAUUGUAAGUUUUGUACUGAUUUUCUGAGACCCUAUUGGAAGGAUAUUGUACACCUCUUCUGGUUCUUGCUCCCUAUAUAUUUGAUAAAUAAGCAAACAUUCUUCAUCUUUUGUGUCUAACAAUGUUAUUCAAGUGCUUGAAUGUUGUAUGUGUGCUCUAA